AUAAAAAAUCAAUGUCUUCGGACUCUUUGAUGAUUCAUAAUAACUUUUCGAAUCGCAUGGCCUUGUGCUGGCGAUGGUUCAUUCAAAUUUCUGCCCUAUCAACUUUCGAUGGUAGGAUAGUGGCCUACCAUGGUUUCAACGGGUAACGGGGAAUAAGGGUUCGAUUCCGGAGAGGGAGCCUGAGAAACGGCUACCACAUCCAAGGAAGGCAGCAGGCGCGCAAAUUACCCAAUCCUAAUUCAGGGAGGUAGUGACAAUAAAUAACGAUACAGGGCCCAUUCGGGUCUUGUAAUUGGAAUGAGUACAAUGUAAAUACCUUAACGAGGAACAAUUGGAGGGCAAGUCUGGUGCCAGCAGCCGCGGUAAUUCCAGCUCCAAUAGCGUAUAUUAAAGUUGUUGCAGUUAAAAAGCUCGUAGUUGAACUUUGGGCCCGGUUGGCCGGUCCGAUUUUUUCGUGUACUGGAUUUCCAACGGGGCCUUUCCUUCUGGCUAACCUUGAGUCCUUGUGGCUCUUGGCGAACCAGGACUUUUACUUUGAAAAAAUUAGAGUGUUCAAAGCAGGCGUAUUGCUCGAAUAUAUUAGCAUGGAAUAAUAGAAUAGGACGUUUGGGUCUAUUUUGUGGGU
rnacentral:rRNA from 1 species